UCCCUGGAGGACUAGUGGUUAGGCCUUGGUGCCCUUACCGCCGUGGCCCAGGUUCAAUUCCCGGCCAGGGAA